rnacentral:rRNA from 1 species
UAACUGGGCGCCUCGGCCUGAAGCCUUGCGGUGUGUCGGGUAACACCGGCAUACUGCUUAGCGGUCGGACAUAACCGCCGGAGUGGCGUUGACGGUGGGUCGGCCUUAACCGGUCGAUUCACCGGCGCGUCGCAAUCAAAUCGGCCGGGGUGCUCUUAACCGUGUGUCUCGGUCGGCCGGCAAACGUUUACUUUGAACAAAUUAGAGUGCUCAAAGCAGGCUGAUCUUAGCCCUGAAUAUCGCAGCAUGGAAUGAUGGAAUAGGACCUCGGUCUUAUUUUGCUGGUCUUUUUCUCAUAGACCCGAGGUAAUGGUCAAUAGAGACGGACGGGGGCAUCCGUACUGCGGCGACAGAGGUGAAAUUCUUGGACCGCCGCAAGACGAACGACAGCGAAGGCAUUUGCCAAGAAUGUUUUCCUUGAUCAAGAACGAAAGUUAGAGGUUCGAAGGCGAUCAGAUACCGCCCUAGUUCUAACCAUAAACGAUGCCGACCAGCGAUCCGCCGGUGUUACUCCCAUGACUCGGCGGGCGGCUUCCGGGAAACCAAAGUCUUUGGGUUCCGGGGGAAGCAUGGUUGCAAAGCUGAAACUUAAAGGAAUUGACGGAAGGGCACCACCAGGAGUGGAGCCUGCGGCUUAAUUUGACCCAACACGGGAAACCUCACCAGGCCCGGACACUGGAAUGAUUGACAGAUUGAGAGCUCUUUCUCGAUUCGGUGGGUGGUAGUGCAUGGCCGUUCUUAGUUGGUGGAGCGAUUUGUCUGGUUAAUUCCGAUAACGAACGAGACUCUAUCCUGCUAAAUAGGUGGCGGGUUUCUAUGCCUCGAGACUGCGGCGGGCGCAAGCCCGUCGCAGUCGGAAGGAAACUUGGGUGCGGUGGCCGACGGGACCAGGGCCGUGUGUUUGUCGGUCUCGAGUGCGUGGGUCAAACUGCGUACUUGGGCUCGGUGAGCGUACGGCUCCCCCGGCGAUACCACCGUACUCGCGCCCGUCACGUCUCUUCUUAGAGGGACAAGCGGCGUCCAGCCGCGUGACAGUGAGCAAUAACAGGUCUGUGAUGCCCUUAGAUGUCCUGGGCCGCACGCGCGCUACACUGAAGGAAUCAGCGUGUUUCAAUCUCCCUGUCCGAAAGGACCGGGUAACCGCUGAACCUCCUUCGUGGUUGGGAUUGGGGACUGCAAAGAUCCCCAUGAACCAGGAAUCCCUAGUAGGCGCGGGUCACUAGCCCGCGUCGAUUACGUCCCUGCCCUUUGUACACACCGCCCGUCGCUACUACCGAUUGAAUGAUUUAGUGAGGCCUUCGGACGGGCCCGUCGGGGGAGUGUUCCCGUCGUCUUCGCGGAUGGCGGGCGCGCGCCCUACCAACGGCGG